GUCCUGAGCACGACAAUAAAAGGCUUUCCACGGUAAAUAGAGUUCGCUGAUCACGAAUGGCUCAACUAUGUACAGUGGACAAGUUAAUAUAUCAGCUGCCUUUUGAGCAGGUAGGCUGCAAUCCGAAAUGGAGUAAUCCAUAUGGGCUGCGGUUUAUUUGUUAUGCCAUUUUACAGCUGAGUU
rnacentral:ncRNA from 1 species